ACACGCAUGACACACUGCAUAUCAAUAAGCGGAGGAAAAGAAACUAACAAGGAUUCCCCUAGUAACGGCGAGUGAAGCGGGAAGAGCUCAAAUUUGAAAUCUUAAAGGGUUUCCCUUUACGAAUUGUAGUUUAAAGAAGUGUUUUCUGUUGGAGUUUCGGUAAAAGUUCUUUGGAAUAGGACAUCAUAGAGGGUGAGAAUCCCGUAUUUGACCGUUACUUUCCAGCUGUGUGAUACACUUUCAAAGAGUCGGAUUGUUUGGGAAUGCAGUCCAAAAUGGGUGGUAAAUUUCAUCUAAAGCUAAAUAUUGGCGAGAGACCGAUAGCGAACAAGUACCGUGAGGGAAAGAUGAAAAGAACUUUGAAAAGAGAGUUAAACAGUACGUGAAAUUGUCAAAAGGGAAGCGUUUGACACCAGUGUUGUUUUUCCGAAAAUCAAUUACGAAUGUUUUGUUUUUAAGAAGUUAUGACUUCAUCGGCUUGCUUCUUUCUUUACGAAACUUUCUUAAUGCACUUUUCGGUUAACAAGUCAACAUCAAUUUCUUUUGUUGUAAAAGGGUAUGAGGAAGGUGGCUUUCUUUUCGGAGAAAGUGUUUAUAGCCUUGUACCUCUGCAAUCGGAGAGACUGAGGUCUGCAGCGUAGAUCCUUCGGGGUUAGAUACAUUUGUGCUAAGUUAUAGCUUUUCAUAGACAACUUGUUGACUAUGUUAAGUCUUGUACUUUACUCGCUAGAUGCUAUUUUACCUACGCUUAGGAUGUUGAAGACUCUACAGAGAUA
rnacentral:rRNA from 1 species